GGGGGGGGCGGGCGGCGGGCCUGAUACAUGCAAGUCGAGCGAACGGACGAGGAGCUUGCUUCUCUGAUGUUAGCGGCGGACGGGGGAGUAACACGUGGAUAACCUACCUAUACGACUGGGAUAACUUCGGGACACCGGAGCUAAUACCGUAUAAUAGUUUGACCCGCCUGGUUCAACAGUGAAAGACGGUCUUGCUGUCACUUAUCGAUGCAUCCGCGCUGCAUUAGCUCGUUGGUACGGUAACGGCUUACCAAGGCAACGAUGCAUAGCCGACCUGAGAGGGUGAUCGGCCACACUGGAACUGAGACACGGUCCAGACGCCUACGGGAGGCAGCAGUAGGGAAGCUUCCGCAAUGGGCGAAAGCCUGACGGAGCAACGCCGCGUGAGUGAUGAAGGUCUUCGGAUCGUAAAACUCUGUUAUUAGGGAAGAACAUAUGUGUAAGUAACUGUGCACAUCUUGACGGUACCUAAUCAGAAAGCCACGGCUAACUACGUG
rnacentral:rRNA from 1 species